UCCCUGGUGGUCCAGUGGUUAGGAGUCUACGCUUCCACUGUAGGAGGCACAAGUUCAAUCCCUGUUCAGGGAA
rfam:TPA: Bos taurus chromosome 18, whole genome shotgun sequence.